rnacentral:rRNA from 1 species
CAGUCGCCACGGUAAUACGUAGGUGGCGAGCGUUGUCCGGAAUUAUUGGGCGUAAAGCGUGCGCAGGCGGUUAGAUAAGCCAGAUGUGAAAUCCCCGAGCUCAACUUGGGAACUGCGUUUGGAACUGUUUAACUAGAGUGCGUCAUAGGGGGGUGGAAUUCCGCGUGUAGCAGUGAAAUGCGUAGAGAUGCGGAGGAACACCGAUGGCGAAGGCAGCCCCCUGGUAUGACACUGACGCUCAUGCACGAAAGCGUGGGGAGCAAACAGGAUUAGAUACCCGCGUAGUCCCUGUCUCUUAUAC